UGUGUGUGUGUAGAAGCAAGCACGUAUUUUGUAAUGACUCAUUAAAAUGGAGGAGGCAAAGAAAAAUUGUAUUUUUCAAAAAUAUAAUUUUCAAAAAACCACCACAGUAGCAAUCGACUGAUCUAAGAUGACUGCUCUGAUAAAUACACUACAGAGGAGGCAGAUCUUGCUUCAAAGCAAAAUUGAGAGGAUUCGUCAGCUUUUAAAGAAGCCAGGUGGGUGAUUAGCUCGGUGGACAGCACCUCUGUGCCCUCACUGGCUAAGGGAGAACUCUCAGAUCCCCUCCUGUGCCUGUUUUCCCCUCCUUUAAGCGAAAAGGGUGAUUGUAUGACCAUAAUCGUAGCUAAAUAAACAGAACUGCUAUACACACCCAAUCCUUCAUCAUGAAAAGAUAAUUAUAGAUUUCUCUGAAAGGACUCUGGGUAUGUGUGCGCAAGAAUCACGUAAGCAAAAAUAAAAUAUGCAAUGAGGUACUUAGCCCAGAUCUGCCUGUUGCCUAGCUCUAUUUUGUGUGUGAAAUAAUGUUGAAAUUUGACUGCAUUACUGGUUCUAGACAGAUCCUUUGUAACAAUGCCCAAUCCAGAAAGUGAAAUCAAGUAAUAAGAAGCCAGACAUUUAGAGAAAAGCAUAUUUUUCCUGCAAGACUGCAGAAUUACUGUUGUUACAUAAUUUCAUGAGCUACAUCCCCAAUUCCUUUACAAAUUAUGUUUGUGCUUUUGCACAUAUUGUGCCAGAGAUGUCUCCACUCUGGCUAGAGUUUUUGACCGAGGUAAAUUGUGAAUUUCUGCACAAAAAAAAAUUACAAGUAUUUUUGAAGCAGAGAACUACUAGCUCAAAAAUAUCUAACAAGAGUUCCAUUCCAGUAUGACAGAAUAUAUUUGUGGCUCAGAGACAGAGGAGAGAAGUCUGGCAGCUCUGAAGAAAAUUUAAUUUACAGCACAAAAAGGUGGCGUCUGAAGGAAGAUCAAUUUGUGUGAGGGUGAGUGAACUCCUGCUGUCACGUUGACAGCUUCAGCACCAUGGAUGUUAUUUUGCUGCCCUGGAUACCGUACCACGGCAAGGAGAGCUCCUGUGAUAAGCGAGAUCCAUCCUGACCCAGAAGCAGGGGGCCAGCUGCAGGGGAAAGGAGCUGCUCGUGCAGAGCUCACUGCAGGAGAGAGGCCAAAGACCUGGCUGGGAGGUGAUGAACUGCCCUGAUAAAUACAGCACGGCAGAGAGCCACCUCCGGCCAAACAGCAUCACCAGGAGGUGGAAAACUAAUACUCCUCCAUUCUUCCUCCUCCAUUAAGAUGGAAGGUCAAUGUAUGUUCUUAAAUUAUUUCUUUCCUUUUUUUUUUUUUUUUUAAGUAAACAUUGCAAAGGAAAAGAGGCUUUCUUCCUCCACCAGCAAGUAUACAGGAGACAAACAUUCUGAAUGCUGUUAGCAAGUACAGCAAAGACCGGGAGGACCAGUGUGAAGCUAGCAAGAGCUGAGGCCUGACAAGCAGGUUUGGACUGUGAGACUGCCAGCCACAGGCACCAGUGGGCAGAGAUUUGGAAAAGAAGUCUGUGCCUUACUGGCACUCUUACUUCAGAAAAAACCACCCUCCCUGAGAAUGCCAGAGAGCUGGGCCCCUGCCAGCCUGCUCUCUAACAAGCAACGUGGGAGAGGCAGCUCUGCAGCCUGUGGGACUACUGUGUCUUGUACUACCUUUGCUUCAGUGUAUCUCAGACGCUCUGACAGUGUAUCACUGCUGCUGUAAACAAUCAGCAGCUGAACGUGACUCACAUUAUAUUAUCAGAAUGAUUUCAGAUAUUCCCUGCCUUUGGUCUCAUCGUCCUCUUUUGCCUUAUCUAUUUGCAAGAUUAUUCCAUUGGAUCACAUACUGUAAAGGUAUGAAUAGCCUGCUCACCACCACAUUUCUGCCUCUGUGACUUGUGAAUAAUGCUCUCCUUCUCAGAGUAUGCUAGUAAAAAUUUUAGACUGUGCUAUCCCUGACUGUGUAGGGGACACACUUGUUAAAUGACAGCUAUUUUAAGAAGGUGUUGUAUCUAAAAAAAAAGAAAAAACUGAGAGGGAGGACAUUUCUUGAAUCCCUUAGAUCAUAAAUUCAGAUCAUAACUGAGCCUGACAAGGAUAAAGAAGACAAAAUCCAGAUACCUCAAACAGCUCCCCAAGUGUCUAGACUUCAGCAGUUCUCCUAGGGCUGGAAGCCAAUACUGGGUUUCACUGAAAGGAGGGAGAAUUUCCCAUUUCUUGCUUGCUUCAUCUGUGGGCAAAGCCCAGCAUUUCAAAAUCCAGUCCCAGAUUCAGUGAGCCACGCUGGAGCCACUGAAUCAUACCUAGUGCAGGUAGCGGGCAAACAUAUUUUAUCUUAUCUGAAAGAGAAACUCCUCAUUUAGGAGAGGCUCUUCUUUUUUUCCAUGAGACUAAAUUUAAAAAACAGCAGCUGUCUGCAGCUUUUCUGGAGUUUAAAAUCUUAAAAUAAAGCUUAAAAAGACAUGGAUGCGAUUAAGUAUUUAGGAAAAAAAAAGAGAGACAUUCAUCAUACAGUUCAACAGUUUAGCAGGAUAAUCUCAAAUUUGAGGUUCAGUCAUCCUUUCCUCCCCAGCUUACGAUUAGCUACAAAAUAGGCAGGCUGGAAUUUAUUUAUUUAUUUUUAAAAUUAAGAGAUGCAAAAAUAAAUACGUAAAAUGUAAGCUCAGCUUCAUUAAUAUCCAGGACAGGACUGUGUUUAUAUAACAAAGCAGGAAAAAUAUUUUGCUUUUUCCAAAAUUCACUUUCCUCCUCAACCCUUUGUUCCUUAGGCUAAGAACAAAAGAGAUUCCGAGUCUUUGCAGCCUGGAGUUCUGUUUAUGCUCUUCUUCUUUGUGGCAACUUUUUCCAUACUUGAAGUAAUCAUCAUCACUCCCCUCAAUUAUUUCUCUUCUCCAUCAAUCAAACACUUAUCUUUUGAUCUUUCCUCCCUAUUCAUGCCAGGACAGCUUGUAUGCAAAGAUGCAAACUGCUGCAUAUAUUAGGCAUGUAUUGUAGGCUCUAGGCAUUCCAGGGGCUUUGACUUGAGGGGCUAAUACCUAUCACAGAUUCCACAGGCAGCUGAUUUUAGAUGUUCCUGUAAGAGACUGUAUGGCAUGAAAUGUGCUUGAUCUCACCUGAUCUGUUUCUACAACAGGACAGAUUAAAGAAAAAAAAACAAAACAACACAAGCAAGGGGUAUCAGGAAAAAAAAGAACUGUAGGUUCCCUUUGUAUCAUAAAAUAUCUUCCGGAGUAGUUAAAUUUUAAUUAGAGUCCUCAUUAAAACAAGUCUCACAGGACAAUGUUGUCACUGUAGCUUAUCUGCCCAGAAUUAAGGAGCCUGGGACCCAUUAAAAGCAGCGUCACUUCAUGCUUUAUUUGAUGUCCAACAUUUCUGCCACACCUUCCCAAGCAGGCACUGAGUUUUACUGCAAAGAGCUUCAAUACACCAGACACAGGCCCCUGGCAAAGAGGUUUCCUCACUGCCUCAAGGCUGAUGCCUGGAUAAAAGAGGAGUGCACUUGGCAGGACAGAGGACUGGCACAUAAAAAACAAGGUGUGACUUCAACAAGGGCGGGGGAGUCUGCACAGGAAAGUUUAAUAUUACAGAGGCACGGAAGCCUCUGAAGUCUGGGCAGCCACAUGAAAAGCAGGUGCCUGCCUGGGCACGCGGGCUAUCAGGGAAAGGAUGGGAGGCGCAGCGCCGUAAUUGCACAUCAUCUUGUGACUGGUGCGAACGCUGCCAGGAGCCAGGAUGCUGCAGUACCGAGCUGAUUGCUCCCUCAGGACAAGCUGCAAAGCGCUGAAUGCCCAGAGCUGCAAAGGGAAAGCAAGUGAAUUGGCAAGGGGCAUGUCAGUCCCCAAGCACCGGUGAGGUGCAGAAUC